rnacentral:tRNA from 1 species
GGAGACGUGGCUGAGUGGCUGAAAGCGGCGGUUUGCUAAAUCGUUGUACCCUAAUCCGGUACCACAGGUUCGAAUCCUGUCGUCUCCGCCA